CACGCCGCCUCCGAUUGGUCCUCGGCCCACGGGCACCUCCCCCGCCGGCCACGCGCCCCGCCUCUCAGUUCGCAAGAGGCGCGGCCGCCGCUACUGCGCCUGCGCGGAACGGGUUCUGUACUCUCUCGCGCGAGGCGGAGGAAGAGGGGGGGCGGCUUCGGGAGUUCGAUGUGCGGGGGUCCCGCGCGGUGUAACGGCCGCAGCGCGUGCUCAACGGUCGCAGGAGGCGGUGUGCGCGCGCCCCGCCCCUUUGAGUCGGGUGUGGGCGGCCCCGCCUGCCGGAGGCGGGGAUGCGCGCCUCAGAAGGCGGCGCGCUUUGGGGGGUUGUGGGUGGCGGGCGUCGUUGGAGAAGGGGUCGAAGGGCGGCUGUGCUGGCUGCCGUGGUGACCGCCACGUCGUAAGGCGCCCUUUAAGCGGUCCUUGAGAAAGUGACACGUCUGCUUACGGCUCUGGUGCAGAGGUCCUUCCCGGCUUUGUUCCUGAAAGCGGUCAGGCGUGCCCAUGAGGUGACGCGGCAGCAGCCCGGCGGGGAAGCCCUUGAAGGGGCUGCUCGUUGCGUUUCGCUGCCCGUAAAUGCGGGUAAGCAGCGCCGUCCAUUUUGGGCCGUCAGAGCUGAGUGACUAGAGUUACUGUUUGUGCUGUAAAAUCUAGCAGUGGCGGUGCGUACAUCUUGUGUAUCUGAGUGAUGCAAUACGCGAGCAAGAAGGAGAUUACAUGGUGAAAGACUAAAAGCUUUCUUAUUUUCAAGGAGAGACUCGGUCAUUUUUGUAGGACUACGCCUACCUGUAGCACCCGUAACGUCUUCGCGUUCCCAGACGAAACGGCAUCAGUUUCUGGAGAGCUGCUACAGGUAGCUGGGCGAUGCCCGUCGCUCCGCCUGGCGCUGCGCUGUGAGGCAGCAGCGCUUUGCACCCGCUAGAUUUUGUCACGGCAGCUGCGUGCAGUAGAAGCAUUCCUCCUACUAACAGCUGUGAGAGCGAGACACCAUUUCGUAACUCGGUUACAAAAGCUGGAGAGCUCAAAUAUUUUCACACAGAUAGGUAAACAGUGCAAGAACCCGGCAGAAAAUAACACUUAGCGAUGCUUAGCGUUUUCAUAAAGCUCUGCAUUUUCAACACCUGUAAUGGCCAGGUGUUUAAUCUUCUGCCUUUUGAGCCUGUUUGGUAACGACAGCCUUUGUGAGCAAACAGGGUGAAGUUCUCAUCAGCUAAGGACCCGCAAUUGAAAUCCAUGGGUUGCUCUGAAAGUGAUGCCUCCUAUUUAUUUCCAUGGAAACUCCAACAGAUCCAAAGAGCAUAAUAACACUAUUUGAUAGGGCACGUUCUCAGCUACUAAACAAUAUUUUUCAGGAGUCGCUACCAUUAGCUAUGUGUUUUUUGCCAGUAAUGAAUAAGAGUCUGCGUGCCACACGCAUAGCUAUCUGUACCAGUGGAGGUGACCCACUGUGAGCACUGCUGAAACACACCAACCAAAGCCUCCCUGAACUCACAUCCACUGUUUGGUCUUCAUAAACAUUCAGCCAGCAUCAAUGAAUGUGCAAUUUCUUUUCUGCGUGGAGUUCAACUACAGACCUUCAGUUACAUCAUGGGCCAACAUAAUAAAGUGCUCUGAGUACGGAAGAGCCAUUUUGGAGACUGAAUAAGGCCAUUGCUACACAUAGCAAACAAAUGCAUUUCCAACGCAGUGACAUCACUGUGGAGCUGCAAGAGAGAAACAUCAAAUUGUGAGACUUACUGCAGGUGCUACAGGAACAAGGAAUAAGAAACUUUAUGUCAAGUUUAUGGAAACAGAUGGAGCUGAAAGUUUAUAGCAAACCUGACAGAAGUGAGUGGUGGUGUAGGAUAAACUGAAGAAAUAAUUGUUCCUGGCAAACUCAAGGUAAAAAUGAUUUGCAAACCAUAGUGGAACUGCUAAGUCACAGCCUAAAGCAGUGAUUGAGUACCUGGUGGGAAGGCAGGGCCAACCCAGGGCAGCUCAGGUGCAUGCAGUGUAUCUGAGUGAGCAGAAGGGCUGGAGCCAGGAUACACCACUUCCCAGACCUCAUUUAAGUUCUAAGAAACAAAUGGAAGAAAUGUUAACAAAACCAAUAUGGGUUGUAUUAAUCAGUGGCAAAGGAAGAGACAGAACAAGAGUUUUUCUCUGCAAUCUUACUACCACACCUUUUAUCCUGAUGCUCAUUGAUGUGCCUCCUUGAGGGAAGGUUUUUAUUGUACCUUCAUCCAUGAUGAAAGUUUGCAGCAAUUACCUCUCAUUCUGUUCUUUCUCUGGAGUAUAACAUGUGCAUGAUUUUCUCAACUAUGUGCCAGCUAAUAAGCCUAUUCAAAAUAAUGAGCCCCAAGGACACAGGAAAAACAAAAUUAAUAUAUACAAUUUAGUUUCUCAAAAUCUUUGAUUUCAAAAGUAAAAUUUAUUUUGCUGUUAAUCACAUAGCUUUCUUUCUUGCACUUUCACUUUCCUUGGGUUCUCUUGUCAGUGCAGUUGCUUUUGAAUUCUUACUUUGUUGCAUUUUUUAAAUUCAUUGUGAUACAGUGAUCUCAUAUGUUAAUGUGCUUGUGAUUCCAAGUUGUAUGUCAGAUUGCCUGAUGCUUUGCCUUUACUUAGCUUCACCCCCUUCCAUUGUAAACUGCUGAAGUUGCUGUUUUGUCACUGCCUGCCUCUUACGCACAUUUUCAAUAAUGGUACAGUUACAAACUCUUUCCGUUCUGUUUUAGAUUCCCACCAAAAUUUUUACGGUUCUGUCUACGUAGAGCCAGAACAUCAGCUGAAGUUUUCACUGCCUGGAUACUUCAUUCAAAAUUUCUCACAUUCAGACAGAUAUAGAGAAACGGUUUUCAAAAGUAUGUCUUGCUUCACCUUCCUUCUUCCCUCUUAUGGUCAAUUUCAUCCAUGUUCAGCACCUAGUACAUAAAAAGAUGUCUAAUGCAACUUAAAUAAUGAAACUGUCAGGUUGCCACUCUUAAAAAGAGUGGAGAACUGGAAAACAACGCAGGCAAACACUGACCUCUGAUUCUCUUAAAUUGAGCAUAUAUACUGAAUUAGUGUAACUACUGAUACCGUUUUAUCUUCCUAUCUGGUCAAAUCCAAAAUAGUGUGCUUAUUCACACGCACUAUCAUGUAUGUAUGUAUGUUCUAUGUGGGUGAUAGCUGGGCUAAUGUGCUUGUUAUUAUUUUUUGUUUUUAAAUGUGCUGUGCACCUCUGAGAAUAAGAUAAUCUUUAUUUAGGCACUUACAUGGAUUUAUUUCUUUACUACUAAAUGUUUAGAAAUUAAGUAACUGGCUUCAUUUCUGACAUAUGUUGGGAAUUGUGUGUCAGAACAGUGUGUAACAUAGAAUUCUCUGGAGACUCUUCUCCCUUGGUUUUACUAUUAUUAAUGUACGCAUCUAACGUUGUAACUGAGAAUGGAGCCAAUUUUAUGCUUUCUCUUUUCAGGUCUUUCCAAUCCUCUCAAAGCUAGAGGAAAUAAAUGGGCUUGUUAUUGUGUCCUAUAGUUGAUAAACUAUAACUUGUUUGUAGGGGAUGGGGAGACCAAGUCUGCAAAGUGAGGAGCCACAGCGAAGAGCACAUCUGCCUCCUCAUAGUGGUAUUUCAUCCUGAGUGCUCAGCUGCUGGCAGUCUGCUAUAAAGCAGUUAUUUGUUGAGUUGUUUCUUGUAUACACACGGUUUCUUCAAAUACUUUAAAGCUAUUUACCACGAUGCUUUAAUAAUUUCAUUAAGUAAAAAUAAGCUUUCAAAAUGCCGUGACCAGGUAAUGUCCAAGAAGUGGUCAAGUAUGUGAUUUGGGGAUGCUGAUGCUCUCUGGAUUUGUAGAUGGCUUUUGAGUUGAAUAUACAGUAGUUCAUCAGGAUUGAGAAGCCAUCACAAAGAACUGCAGGAUAUAGAUUCUGCUAAUCUAGUGACAGAGAAAAACACUGAUGAGGUUGUAACCAUAACUUCUUUCUGGUUUUCAGCAGAAAUCCACUGGACUUGCUUCUUUUCUGUCCUAAAUGGAAGUUUAAAGUUCAGUAGAACAUUAGAGUUUGUUAGAUCUACUAACUUUGUCUUAUUUUUUAUUUCAAGUUGUGAGGACUAAAAAGAAAAUGAAAUGACUGUACUGAUUUAUCAUAUGGUUGUUACUGGACAGGAGGGGAGGAAAAGGAAAAAAAUAUUCUGAUUUGGGGCUUUUUGUAGUCCUUUUUGUUCUAUCUUCCAAGCAGAAGUUUAUCACAGGGUGAAAGUAAGGCAAAAGCAAUGCUUCUAUAGCCUCAAGAAAGAAGAGGGAGAUGGAGAUGCUAAAGUAUCUUGACAACCAAGUCCAUGUCUAAGCAGAUGUAUUUGCUCUUCACAGUUUAGAUAGAUCAGCAAGAACAUCUUAUAUUAUUGCUGUAUAAACAAACAAUGGUAAGAACAUAUACCUGUGUUAAAUGACAUGAUUUCUUUCCUAGUGCUGAGACAGAUUUGCUCUGGCUCAAACCUGGCCUUGAGGAUGCUGGUAGCUGCUAGCUACAUUGUGAGCACAAGGACACACCGGAUCAGGAUAGCCUUGUCUCAGUCACACAGAUUUCAACUUGCUUUGUAUUUUAAGGAGGAAAAAAAAACAGAAAAAAAAAAGAAA